AUGAACGCUGGCGGCGUGCUUCACACCUGCAAGUCGAACGCGAAAUGGAGACGGAACCCUUCGGGCGGAAGGCUUCAUUUCGAGUGGCGGACGGGUGAGUAACGCGUGGGUAACCUGCCUCAUACAGGGGGAUAACAGUUGGAAACGACUGUUAAUACCGCAUAAGACCACAGCACCGCAUGGUGCGGGGGUAAAAACUCCGGUGGUAUGAGAUGGACCCGCGUUCGAUUAGCCAGUUGGCGGGGUAACGGCCCACCAAAGCGACGAUCGAUAGCCGAUCUGAGAGGAUGACCGGCCACAUUGGGACUGAGACACGGCCCAAACUCCUACGGGAGGCAGCAGUGGGGAAUAUUGCACAAUGGGGGAAACCCUGAUGCAGCGACGCCGCGUGAGUGAAGAAGUACUUCGGUAUGUAAAGCUCUAUCAGCAGGGAAGAAAAUGACGGUACCUGAGUAAGAAGCCCCGGCUAACUACGUG
rnacentral:rRNA from 1 species